rnacentral:lncRNA from 1 species
UUGAAAUUUGAUGAUGUCCUCUAUUUCUUCUCCGAUUGCAGUGUAAGUUAAAUUUCAACACUCUAAUUUAGUUCCCUGGGGAUUCUUCAACCAUGCCCUUAAUUAAAUAACAUUGGGAUUUUACUGGGGAGGACACAAAAUAAGAUUUUACUUACUCUUUUUCAUUGAUCUAUUACAAAGUUUUCUUUUUUCUGAAUUUUUUAUUGUUUUCUUUAAGG